rnacentral:lncRNA from 1 species
UUUUUUUUUUUUUUUUUUUUUUUUGGUCUUUUUGCCUUUUCUAGGGCCGCUCCUACGGCACAUGUAGGUUCCCAGGCUAGGGGUCGAAUUGGAGCUGUAGCUGCCGGCCUACACCAGAGCCACAGCAACGUGGGAUCCGAGCUGUGUUUGUAACCUACACCACAGCUCACAGCAACGCCAGAUCCUCAACCCACUGAACAAGGCCAGGGAUCGAACCCGCAACCUCAUGGUUCCUAGUCGGAUUCGUUAACCACUGCGCCACGACGGGAACUCCAGAGAGGUUACAUUUUUAAAAGACAAGUCUAGUGCUUUUAGGUAACAAAUGCUUCCACUGAGUCUUGGAUGGAGAAAAGAUUUUCUACAUAGGCUGGGGGAAUAAAAAAAGCUCAUUUCCUUUGCCUUUCUUGUUAUGGAGUGUGAUGCAAAUAUGCAUUUGCUCUGGGAUUCUACUGGUGAUUAAAAUAACAUUAUGAUUCAAUAAAAAGUGCACCAGGCAGUGUUGCUUACACAUGACUACAUGUCACUGUGGUUUUUUUCUAUUUAAAGUUCAAAAAAUAAACUAUAACUCAGCACUGACUUUAGGGUUUGCACUAAUGUUUUUAUCAACUCUAGUUUUAUUUGACUGGCACUCAUUUCUUCUAUGAUUUUCCUCACAUGCUGGAAUUAUUGAAAUGUUGAUCCAAAUGACUUUGAAGAUUUCAAUUACUGGCAAAUUAUAGAAGUGUAUUUCCUAAAACUGAAAUAGCCAUAAACCAGAGUAGCUCAGAAUAUAGAUAUUGAUGACAAGAGAAUCUUGUGAAACAGCCUAUGGAGACGCCAGGAGAAAAAUCUUCCAUUCUAACAGGAUAGACCCUGAUAUUCUUGUUACUGUGCCAAGAAGCUAUUCCAAAAGUUCUUGCACUUACGCAAGGCAAGACAUUUAAUAACCUACUUUUGAACAGCUGUCAAUUGCCAACAUAAGGAACCACACACAGCACAGACAAUGAAAUUUCUGUUUAAAUCAAAUCAAAGGCAUAUUUAUACACAUUUCUGUUAUCUCCCAGCCUAACUCAAAGAAGUCAUACCUGCCUCAAGGGCUUUAGAUCAGCCAAGUGGGACUUCAGCUUCACCCACUGCAUGGUCAAUCUGAGGAAGAAAAGGAGGAGGAGCAGAGAAAGUAGUAAGUUUAAUGUUUUUUAGCUUGUGAAAAUAUUAGCUAACUGGUGAUUUAUCUUCAUGUUUCUCUGCCCCAAGGAGGGAAAGAAAGGCCAGCACCAAAAUCCAUUUCAGCACUUUUCUCAUGUGAGUCAUUUAAACAACCAACCAACUCUUCAACACCUCGCCCUCAGAAAAUGUGUUGAGUUGUGGCUAAUGGGUAGGAAAGCGUCCCUCGGCCCAGGAUGUUAAGAGGAACGUGGCCGGCAAGGGCAGCGUGGUCUCUGGUUCGCGGUAGAGGGGUAUUGCUCUGCAGAUGUGUUUUUUCAGACAGGCAGGUUUGUGCUAAAGAAUUUAAGUGUAUGUAUUUCAUACCACCAUUAAUAGAUAGUAAUGAAUAUCUACUAAUAAUCUACUGAGGUUUAAAAUAUAAACAGUGAACAUCUAGUCAAUUUAACCUAAAUAAUUUCGGUCUAAUGUUAGGAGAGGAGUCCAGAGUAGAUGGGAUUCUGAAGUGUACUUUUUUUUGUCUUUUUGCCAUUUCUUGGGGCUAUAGUUGUUUUUAAAAGGAUUUUCACUGCAAAGGGUAUGUUAAAUGGAGAAUGUGGUGGCACUAAAAUGGCAGUCUGCUUAAAAAAAAAUAAUAUACAAGAAACCAUAGGGGAAAGAAAAGAGUGGCCAUUAAACUAAACUAUUAAGAAUGGUUGCACUUUACAUUCCAAAUGUGAAGUUAUGUAUCGGGGCUAUUACAAUUGCAGAGUGCUGUACAGUGGAUUCAGUAGAAUGGCCAUGUAAAUUGAAAAGCAAACUAAUGUCUCUUCAAGCUCUGGAAACCACAGAAGGAAUUUGCUCCCAAGUGGGAAACUCUAGGCAAUCAACCAAUGAAUCACUCACCCAAAGAACAAGAGCUUUGUCUUUCUCAUCAACUGUCUUUUACACAGAAGUAAGAUACGGGUCACUUGAUAACAAUAUCAGGGAGAAAACCAGAAGGGCAUAGAUUUUGGCACAUAGAGCUCCCUUGAGUGCUGAUGAUUUGUAUUAUGGAAAGGAAUGCAGUGUAUUCCUUUAAUUUUGCCAUAUAAAACGUUCUCAUGAAAUAUUACACCUGAAAUGCUGGAUAAAAAUACUCUUGAUUGGGAUGCUUAUGUUUGUUAGGGUGAAGAGAUUACACACAAGAAAGCCAACUGCAGAAAUGAAAAAUAGGCUUAUAAUACAUUUACACCAGAGGAUCUAACAAGCCUAUGUUUGAGGUUAUAAUGAAGAAAAAAAUUCUGUAUUAUGAAGAUCCUUAAUGCAGGAGUGGUUAUUAGAGUGAAAUGUGGUUAAAAAUAUAAUCAAGCAACACUGCAGAACUAGAAUACUGAAUAGUGGUGUAUCAUUUGAUGGAACCAAUAAAAAGAACUGAAGAUCAUGCAGAAAAAUGUGGGGAUAAGAACUUGUGAAGUUCCCAUUGUGGCUCAGGAGUAACAAGACUAACUGGUAUCCAUGAGG